AAUGGGCGCAGCCUGAUGCAGCGACGCCGCGUGCGGGAUGACGGCCUUCNGGUUGUAAACCGCUUUUGAUCGGGAGCAAGCCUUCGGGUGAGUGUACCUUUCGAAUAAGCACCGGCUAACUACGUGCCAGCAGCCGCGGUAAUACGUAGGGUGCAAGCGUUAUCCGGAAUUAUUGGGCGUAAAGGGCUCGUAGGCGGUUCGUCNCGUCCGGUGUGAAAGUCCAUCGCUUAACGGUGGAUCUGCGCCGGGUACGGGCGGGCUGGAGUGCGGUAGGGGAGACUGGAAUUCCCGGUGUAACGGUGGAAUGUGUAGAUAUCGGGAAGAACACCAAUGGCGAAGGCAGGUCUCUGGGCCGUCACUGACGCUGAGGAGCGAAAGCGUGGGGAGCGAACAGGAUUAGAUACCCUGGUAGUCCAAGGGCGAAUUC
rnacentral:rRNA from 1 species